ACUCCUUCCUGGUUUGGGUGGAAGCCAUCACCUGGAAUCCUGCAUGGGAAAGGACCUCAGCCAUGGGACCCCAGCACCCUCCAGCUCUAAACCCAGUCAAUGGGAUGCGG